ACAACCUGUAAAGCAGAUUAUGUAGGUUUCUUUAGGGUAUAGUUCCUAGAGAACCCAAACCAGAUUGAUGGUUAGGAUGUAGCUUUACCACAGAAAAUGGGGAAGAUAUGCGUACAUCUCACGCAAAAGGCUAGGUGAAGGACGAAUCGUAGAGCUAGAAGAGGGAUGUGCAUCGGUGGCUGAAGGAAAGGCAUGUGAGGAAGAUGCAGCGAAGUCAUAGAUGAUAGAUCAACGAUGGAGGCUUGAAUCGUGCAGGGAGAUAGGUGAACUUUCGAGGGGUAUAGCUUCCAGCUGCUAGCGAAAAUCCAGCCAUGAGAUAAGAGAAGGGCGAAGCAAAUCUGGCUC
rnacentral:lncRNA from 1 species